rnacentral:snoRNA from 1 species
UUGCACUUCCAGUAGACCUAAAUCGCUGCGCUCAUGGAGCAUUCGGCUUUUUGGUGGGACAUAUGGUGCCAAAGCAAAAUGUGGUGGUUGCACCGAGUGCAGCGUUAUGUCGUCCUUAAUAUGACCAUAACCGCCCCACCUGCAGCUCCAGACAAU